rnacentral:pre_miRNA from 1 species
AUGUGCCUGGCUCCCUGUAUGCCACCCUUGUAGCUACCAAUCUAAGCAUGUAGAUUGGCUACUAUGGUUGGCGUGCGAGGAGCCAAGCAUGU